rnacentral:rRNA from 1 species
CCUACGGGAGGCAGCAGUGGGGGAUAUUGCACAAUGGGGGGAACCCUGAUGCAGCGACGCCGCGUGUGGGAAGACGGUCCUCUGGAUUGUAAACCACUGUUCCCAGGGACGAAAAUGACGGUACCUGGGGAGGAAGCGCCGCCUAACUACGUGCCAGCAGCCGCGGUAAUACGUAGGGAGCGAGCGUUGUCCGGAAUUACUGGGUGUAAAGGGAGCGUAGGCGGGGAUGCAAGUUGGGUGUAAAAACUACCGGCUCAACUGGUAGUCGCACUCAAAACUGCAGCUCUUGAGUGAAGUAGAGGCAGGCGGAAUUCCUAGUGUAGCGGUGAAAUGCGUAGAUAUUAGGAGGAACACCAGUGGCGAAGGCGGCCUGCUGGGCUUUUACUGACGCUGAGGCGCGAAAGCGUGGGGAGCAAACAGGAUUAGAUACCCGAGUAGUC